UAGGGAAUCUUCGGCAAUGGACGAAAGUCUGACCGAGCAACGCCGCGUGAGUGAAGAAGGUUUUCGGAUCGUAAAACUCUGUUGUUAGAGAAGAACAAGGACGUUAGUAACUGAACGUCCCCUGACGGUAUCUAACCAGAAAGCCACGGCUAACUACGUGCCAGCCGCCGCGGUAAUACGUAGGUGGCAAGCGUUGUCCGGAUUUAUUGGGCGUAAAGCGAGCGCAGGCGGUUUCUUAAGUCUGAUGUGAAAGCCCCCGGCUCAACCGGGGAGGGUCAUUGGAAACUGGGAGACUUGAGUGCAGAAGAGGAGAGUGGAAUUCCAUGUGUAGCGGUGAAAUGCGUAGAUAUAUGGAGGAACACCAGUGGCGAAGGCGGCUCUCUGGUCUGUAACUGACGCUGAGGCGCGAAAGCGUGGGGAGCAAACAGG
rnacentral:rRNA from 1 species